rnacentral:rRNA from 1 species
UAGGGAAUAUUGGACAAUGGGGGCAACCCUGAUCCAGCAAUGCCGCGUGAGUGAUGAAGGCCUUAGGGUUGUAAAGCUCUUUUACCCGAGAUGAUAAUGACAGUAUCGGGAGAAUAAGCUCCGGCUAACUCCGUGCCAGCAGCCGCGGUAAUACGGAGGGAGCUAGCGUUGUUCGGAAUUACUGGGCGUAAAGCGCACGUAGGCGGCGAUUUAAGUCAGAGGUGAAAGCCCGGGGCUCAACCCCGGAACUGCCUUUGAGACUGGAUUGCUAGAAUCUUGGAGAGGCGGGUGGAAUUCCGAGUGUAGAGGUGAAAUUCGUAGAUAUUCGGAAGAACACCAGUGGCGAAGGCGGCCCGCUGGACAAGUAUUGACGCUGAGGUGCGAAAGCGUGGGGAGCAAACA